AGACUACGACGUUGAUAGGCUGGAUGUGGAAGCGUGGUAACACGUGAAGCUAACCAGUACUAAUUGCUCGACCGGCUUGAAUUC
rnacentral:rRNA from 1 species